GCAACUGCUACACAGCUGAAGUCUGUCUUCUCAGGAUGUGGCUGGGAAUUGCCUGCUGAUGGGAGAAAAAUGUGGAAAUCAGUGAGGCUCUACAGAAAUCAAGGCUGCAUGCCAAACUCCUGCUUUUUGGACUGGGUAAUAAGUUGAUCCAAAAAAAACCCAAACCCCUCCAUUUUUCUUUCCUAUAAUUUCCUUGCUGUACUGUCAUUACACAAGUAUUAAUGGGAAUGGAGGACAACAUUAAAACUAUUUAUAUAUACAGAAAUAAAUGUUAAUAAAAGUAUUUAAAUAUAUGAAAUCAAUAAAAGAUGAAGAACAAA